AAAUAGUUCAUUUUUUACGUACCGGCAAUCUUGAAAGCUAUCAAUUCCAAACAGUGACAGAUUGCUCUGCUACAAAACUUUGACCGUAGCAUUCCAACAUGCUACUCUGUUGUUCUUUUUAGAGAUCUAGCUUGUGAAACUUACAACGGAAAAGAUGCCAACCAGGAGGAAGUUCACCAACGAAGUGAAUUCUUGGAAUCAAUACACCACUGUCCAAUUCGCCUACCCUUUGCCCUAGUCAUCAGAAUCAGUUUUAUUCUGAUAAAUGCAGCAUGUUGCUCUUUCUUUGCUUUCCAACAGUUAACCACUAUCAAUCAACACACACAGACAUGGACAUCAAAACCAAUCCCUUUUGGGCUCCCAAGCUUUCAAGUUCUUCAGCAAAAUUACCAGCCCUGCAACUUUUGCAGUCUUCAAACAACAGGCUUAGUACUAUGCCAUCAGCUUCAUUCCCAUGCAAAAUUGAAACAAAAAUUCUAAGUUUUGCCCGUUCUUCGCUUCAUCAUCUGUCGUCACCAGGCUUUUCGCCCUAUCCGUCGCCCAGUCAUCGCUUCACCCUUCGCCCUGUCUUCGCCUCGGCCGU